CGGCCGGUGGUAUGAGAUCGAGAAGUUCCCCGGCAGUCUGGAGGCGGGACUGUCAUGCAGCACUGCGGACUACGGCCAACUGCCUAACGGCAACAUCAGCAUCGUUAACAGUGGUCUGACCGCCAAUGGUUCGGUGGUGUCAUCGGAGUGGGAGGGAAUAGAGACCGCAACUCCUGGCCACUUUGUGGUCAUAGCGCCGCCGGUGGGCCUCGGCGUCUACAACGUCAUAGGCAUCGACUACGACGCCUACUACUGCGCAUACUCUUGCGAUCAGCUCGGCGAGUUUCGUGAUCAGUUUGCCUGGGUUUUUUCCCGCACUCCCACACUGUCUCCCGAUGUCCUGGCAGCAGCAGAGGCGGUGUUCACCACCAACAACAUCGACGUCAACAUAUUCGAGCCAACGCACCAGGGCGACGAUUGCGUCUACCCUCCACUGCCUCGUCACUGAACAUUGUAGUUUAAUUAUGGUUCAAUUAUGGUCAAUUACAGUUCAAUUCAAUCAUGGUCCCAAUAUGUUCUAAUUAUGAAUAAAUACGGCAAAAUUAUGGUCCAGUUUUAGUGAAAUUGUAGUCCAAUUAUGGUUCAACAUCGGUAAAGUUGUGAUUUAAUCAUGUCCCAAUUGUGCUCCAAUAUUGGGCCAAUCAUCCUACCAUAAUAGAAUUAAUUCACCAGCAAAUUCAUUCCCCUAUUUCUCAACUACGUCUGCCGGUUUCUGUUGCUUCAAAUUCUAAACAGAAUGAGAAUAUAGCAGGAAAUAGUUUGCUCCAAAUGCCUGGUUUACUGUCAUUAAUAUUUUAAAAAAUAUAUUAUACAAUGUAUUAGUCAAAUAGAACGUAGAGCUUUCUCUAUACCUACUGCACACGGCCAUUUAAUUCGGGUAAUUCGACUAUCUAUUCAAAUAAAGUGGAUAUUUUCAAGUGAACGAGUAGGGUUAUUCUGUAUGUUUUUUUUCUGUUAUUCUUUAGAAGAACGCUUAUAUUCUUUGCUGCUAUCACCAUCUCGGACUAUAUUAUAAAUAGCUCAGCCCAUUUUUAAAAGCACUUUAGGUUCCUAAAAUUGAACCAAAAGGACUUCAAGUGUGAAAUGUAUUCAUUUAAAAAUCACUGUCACAGCAUCGUUUUUUUUAAUCGGUCGGUCGGAACUGAAAGUAGUCGGUCUUGCUAGAGACGGAAUAUUUAUC